AUUCCAGCUCCAAUAGCGUAUAUUAAAGUUGUUGCGGUUAAAAAGCUCGUAGUUGGAUUUCUGCCGAGGAUGACCGGUCCGCCCUGUGGGUGUGCAUCUGGCUCAGCCUUGGCAUCUUCCUGAAGAACGUAGCUGCACUUGACUGUGUGGUGCGGUAUUUAGGACAUUUACUUUGAGGAAAUUAGAGUGUUUCAAGCAAGCGCACGCUUUGAAUACAUUAGCAUGGAAUAAUAAGAUAGGACCUCGGUUCUAUUUUGUUGGUUUCUAGAGCUGAGGUAAUGAUUGAUAGGGAUAGUUGGGGGUAUUCAUAUUUACAUGUCAGAGGUGAAAUUCUUGGAUUUUGGAAAGAUGAACUCAUGCGAAAGCAUUUACCAAGGAUGUUUUCAUCA
rnacentral:rRNA from 1 species